CAGCCGUAAACUAUGCUCGUUAGGUGUCAGGCAUGGCGCGACCGUGUCUGGUGCCGCAGGGAAGCCGUGAAGUGAGCCACCUGGGAAGUACGGCCGCAAGGCUGAAACUUAAAGGAAUUGGCGGGGGAGCACAACAACGGGUGGAGCCUGCGGUUUAAUUGGACUCAACGCCGGGAAGCUCACCGGAUAAGACAGCGGAAUGAUUGCCGGGCUGAAGACUCUGCAUGACUAGCUGAGAGGAGGUGCAUGGCGUAGACGUCU
rnacentral:rRNA from 1 species